UAUUGUCUCCCUCCAUCUAAGGCUAAAGCUUUUGGAUUGAAUUUUGUGACAUGGUAUCAGAGCCGGUUUCCACCUUAAUUUUUUUCACGUGUGAGACCCCCCGUUCAUCAAUUCCAAGUGCUGUUCUCAGUCUGGUUUGCACUUGAAAGGGGUUGUGAAUGUAUCCCAUGCCACUUGUGUAUACCUUCAUAAAGGUCUAUAUAUAUGUUGUCUACCUUCACCUAUGGUUUAGGUUUUUUGGUUGGACCUCAUAGUCGUAUUUUUAGUUGGUUGAGAUUAAUCAAAUUCUUAAAUGCAGAAACAUAUGUAAGUCUGUUAUGUGAUUCAUUUAGUUGGUCGAUUAGCUUUGACACAUUUCAGUUCCCGGUUAAAUAUCAAAUAUGAUGUCUUGGGACCAUUUUUGGUUCCAAGUUUUCCGCAGUUGCGUGUCGUUACCUUGUUAUUAGGUGAAACAUUUUUCUUCUCUUAGAUUGUGUCCUCAGAACGUGUUGAAGUAAUUGCCUCAAUCUUGAUUUUUAAGGCAAUGGAUGAAGACAUAGUUCUCUAGACCUAUAUUUAGAACUAUAAUUUAAUGCGAUGUUGUACAAAUUUAUUUUAUGGACAGCUCAUUUUAGCUUUUCUCUAAUGCCAGAUGCAAGGAGUGGUAAACUUUUUUGGCCGCAUUUCAAUUCUUAUUGACCAAAAUACUCAAGCCUUCCACAUGUUUAUGACAGCGCUUCUUCAGCUUUUCGAUCGAUCUGGAAUGUUAUAUGGUGAGCUUGCUAGAUUUGUGUUGAGGUUGCUGGGGAUCAGGACGAAGCCCAGGAAAGUCCACCCACCAGGCCCUGACGGACUUCCACUUCCUGGACCGGGCAACCCUCAUGCCGUUCGGGGCUACAGUGAGGAACCAAAGGCCGCUCCGACUGGUUCUUGGGACAAUGUUUGGGAAAAUGAUGCCUCUAGAUAAUGUUGGAUCAGCUACUUUGCCUGAGUGCACACAGAUUGGUCAAGAACGCAAUUCCUGUGCGUGAGUGCCUGCGUGUGUGGAUUUCUCGAGCGGACUGGAUCUCUGUUGUGUUUUAGUGUAAUUUGUUAUCGUGCAGAAAGCACAUAUGAUAAAUAAUAAAAGUGCGAUGGCUUGGUUGAGAAAUCUUGAUUAUAGUCGCAAUAGCUACUGGAAUGUGUUGAGUGAGAACUCAUUCCUGUUAAUUAUGUUGCACCAGUGAAUGUGUUGGAAACAGCAAAUUAAAGGUUUGUUUUGGGAGGGUUGGACUGGCAAGAAUAUAGACCAUUGGGAAAUGAUUUUCAAUGGCGGUUGUUCGCGUA